UGAGCUGCUGCAGCACUCCAGGUAUGGAGGGA
rnacentral:piRNA from 1 species